rnacentral:lncRNA from 1 species
UGUAACAGCCCGGCUCCAGAGUUGACGGCUGUCCCCACAGACCAACACGAGUCUUUUCUAGCGUGUUUUGUCCUCACUCGCACGCUCCCUGAGAAACUUCUCAGGGGGUCACCCAUCCCGAAAUUGCUCCAAGCCAAGCACGCUUAACCUUGGAGUUUCGUUCGUAUAGGCACCAGAAAAGAAGAUGCAUCUUGUUCAUAUGAGUAGCACCUAUCAAAUCACUUAAGCUCUCCUCGAAUAUGCAGUUCCAUACCUGCAUAUUCUUGGAAUCCCUCUCGUUCGGGUGUGUUUCGGUUCAUCCAUGCGCCCCUCCGCUUGGAAGUCUUAACCGGAGCCGCUCCUUGUCCGUGCCUCUUUUGCACCGGCGAUCACUCUGCACUUCGUCCCCGGGCGUCACAGGCCCACCAGCUUCCGCUUGGUUCGUCCCCGAACCACACCGUACUGGGAGAGGUUCGGCUCUGAUACCACCUGUAACAGCCCGGCUCCAGAGUUGACGUCUGUCCCCACAGACCAACACGAGUCUUUUCUAGCGUGUUUUGUCCUCACUCGCAUGCUCCCUGAGAAACUUCCUAGGGAGUCACCUAUCCCGAAAUUGCUCCAAGCCAAGCACGCUUAACCUUGGAGUUUCUUUCGUAUAGGCACCAGAAAAGAAGAUGCAUCUUGUUGAUAUGAGUAGCACCUAUCAAAUCACUUAAGCUCUCCUCGAAUAUGCAGUCCCAUACCUGCAUAUUCUUGGAAUCCCUCUCGUUCGGGUGUGUUUCGGUUCAUCCCUGCGCCCCUCCGCUUGGAAGUCUUAACCGAAGCCGCUCCUUGUCCGUGCCUCUUUUGCACCGGCGAUCACUCCGCACUUCGUCCCCGGGCGU